ACACCUCAACUCUCAUGGUUCGCCGUGAUGAGCUUGGACUCUGGGGGUUUUGCUGGCCUGCGGUCGGCUCCCCUCAAAUGAAUCAGCCUCCCAGUGUUUGGUGGCAUCACGGGUGUGAUAAAUAUCUACGCUCACGGUUGUCUGCCAGGUAACCUUUGGUGACAAAGGUUUGCUGGAGCUCACAGAUGUCUCUCCUCGGCGAGGACAGCUUUUUUGAAC
rnacentral:misc_RNA from 1 species